rnacentral:ribozyme from 1 species
UCAGGUAGGAUAGGGCAGAGACUAUUAACCGGGGGGGCAUUCGAACCCACAAUGGUCGUCUUCUCC